rnacentral:rRNA from 1 species
GAUGAACGCUGGCGGCGUGCCUAAUACAUGCAAGUCGAGCGAACAGACGAGAGUGCUUGCCCUCUCUGACGUUAGCGGCGGACGGGUGAGUAACACGUGGGUAACCUACCUAUAAGACUGGGAUAACUUCGGGAAACCGGAGCUAAUACCGGAUAAUAUUUAGCUUCGCAUGAAGCAAUAGUGAAAGACGGUUCUGCUGUCACUUAUAGAUGGACCCGCGGUGUAUUAGCUAGUUGGUGAGGUAACGGCUCACCAAGGCAACGAUACAUAGCCGACCUGAGAGGGUGAUCGGCCACACUGGGACUGAGACACGGCCCAGACUCCUACGGGAGGCAGCAGUAGGGAAUCUUCCGCAAUGGACGAAAGUCUGACGGAGCAAUGCCGCGUGAGUGAAGAAGGUUUUCGGAUCGUAAAACUCUGUUGUAAGGGAAGAACAAGUACGUUAGUAACUGAACGUACCAUGACGGUACCUUACCAGAAAGCCACGGCUAACUACGUG